rnacentral:rRNA from 1 species
AGUGAACGCUGGCGGCAGGCCUAAUACAUGCAAGUCGAACGGACGCACAGUAAGCGUUUGCCCCUAAGGGUGGCGAGUGGCGGACGGGUGACGCAUAUAUAGGCUACCUCUUAUUCGUGGGUGAUAACGUAGGGACACUUCUGCUAAUACCGAAUAUGUCCUACGGGUGAAAGCAGUGGAUAUUUGGACUUUUCGUGAUUCUAUGAGCCGACGCCGGAUUAGCUAGUUGGCGGGGUAAAGGACCACCAAGGCGACGAUGCGUAGCUGAUCUGAGAGGGUGAUCAGCCACACUGGAACUGAGACACGGUCCAGACUCCUACGGGAGGCAGCAGUGGGGAAUAUUCGGCAAUGGGCGAAAGCCUGAUGCAGCAAUGCCGCGUGAGUGAUGAAGGCCUUCGGGUUGUAAAGCCCUGUUGUUAGGGAAGAACAAAAGCGUAUGUAAACCCGGAUGUUCUGACGGUACCCAAACAAUAAGCACCGGCUAACUACGUG